CUCUCAGGCAGCAGCUGACAAAGCAUGCAGUUAAAUUCCUUCCAGGGAAAGACUGGAAGAUGGGCAUUUUUGCUUGAUCCUUCUACACUGAGCCCCAUGGGUUAACUUAGGAUGUAAGUCACAUGAAGGUGGGGACUUUAUUUUGUCUUACUUCACUGCCUGCGUGUGCGUUAAAUGACUGAUGAAGAGCUGUGUGCUAAUGCUGAGAAACUCCUGACGAGGCUGAACUUGAGUGUACAGUCAACGAGUACGGUACUUGAGGGCCGCGAGGUUUGGAAUGAACUCCUGAAGAAUACAGAGGACGAGCAUCUGAAAUCUCCACUUCCCGUGAUUAAGCAGGCAGCAGGAUAUGCCUUUGCCACGCCUAUCUAAUGGCGGUUUGUUUGUUUAAUAUUAAAAUGUUGUUAGAGCUACGUAAGACAUCUGCGUUUCCUCCUGAUUCGUUGAGGCCUGAUGCAUUAAGCAUCUGUAACGCUAUUUCUUUUUAUGUCAUUAAGGGUGGGGAUGUGCUAAUGUAAAUACCAAUUGGGAAGCUUGAGUAAUUUUUCAAAUUUUUCAAUCAUGCUGUUUGCUGUAUUAUUAUUCUGGAUUAGUCUACUUUAGGUACAAUUUUACAGUAUCAUCAAAGUCGUACUCCAAUAUUUAGAUCCCAAAUGACAGAUUUAAUGGCCUUAGUUAACAUCCCCAUGAUGUAGGCUUAAUUUUAUGGUUCACCUGUUUUUGCUGUUUACUUCCCUGAGCUUCAGCCAAGCUGAAGAAACUGUAUGAAAGCAGAGUCCGAUUGUCCAUAAAAGAAAAUGCCACCUUCCUUAGAAAAAGGAAAACCUGGAUUCUCCUGAGUGGGCACCUGAAAGAGACUCUGCACAUGGGGCUGGAGGAAAUGUACACCCCACACUCCUGCGCUUCUGCCCAGCUGGAGGCAAAAGACUCCAAGGCUUUAGGCCAUGGUUAAGCCUGAAGACAGGAUGAGCCGGGAGCCCUGAAUUCGGCUUGAGGAGAGCAACUCAAGAAAGCCGGAGUUUUCUGCCCUCAUCAACUGGAUGUUAGUUCUCUCCUUGGACUGAUCUCUGCUGGCAGGUUGCUGUAACAUCCACAUACUUAUAUGCUUCAGGGUAAGAGGGCAUGAAGAUAGGUAUAGGAUUCAACUUUGCUCUAGAGCUUUCUCCAAUUUUAAAUGAAAAUCUUGCCCUUACGUCCUAGAAGAGGUCAGAUAACUCUUUGUGAAACCUCUUGAAAUAAAAAAUAGAAUAGAAGUUUACUCUACAGGCUGGAAUGUCCUUCUGAGUGUAUUAAACUAUGUCACUGGUCUCCCUCCCGUGAUGGGAGGAAGGAAACUCAGAGGAGGAAAGAGAAGAAAAGAGAAGGAGGGAGACAGUGGCUGAAGAAUGAGAUGUGAUGUGACCCUAAGUAGCGCCUCCUCUCCAACCACCCGCUCCUCUUUUCUCUGAGAUGCUUGCUCUAUAACAAUGCCUGUAACUCAAGGAAAUUGCUUCUGCCGCUUUUAUUCCCCAGGACACUUUGUCCCUUAAGGAAUUGUUCAAUUAAAGAGCUCUAAAAGGAUUGCAUUAACUGAAGAUAUCCAGUCUUCCUUUAUUUCUCAUCACCAAAAUGACAAAGACAGAAUCAGGCACCAUUAGUGCUGAUGUUUCAGUCCAUGUAGGUCUUCAUUAGGCCCCUUUAACAUAACCAUUGAAGGCGAC
rnacentral:lncRNA from 1 species